CCAGGUCAAUCUUAAUUGAACAAAGUUCCUUCUCAUCUAUAUUUCUAAAAUAAAACUUUAUAUUAAUUAUUGAAUUGCUAAUGAGCAUUUCAAUGUUCUUUGACAAUGACAUAACAGGAUCAGAUAGAAGACGAGAACGAUAUCAAAUUUUAAACAAAGUUUAACUUUGUUUAAGAAAUCCAAAAGUAAGUAAUCUAAAAACUAAAAUAUUAUCAUAAAGCUACUAAGGGCAUUCGGUGGAUGCCUUGGC
rnacentral:misc_RNA from 1 species